UUCUCCAAAUUGAUCCAGAACUUUGGCCCCACACGGACUCAGGACAGCCCUCCUGGCGAGUUCGCACCAGGAGGAACUUUUUCUCGCUGGCCUUGGCCCGUCCCCCUUACUGGGCUGCUCAAUGGUGGCAUCGAGUUCCCCGCGCCCUGCGUGCAGAGUUGCUGCUUUCCCUUCCUGAAAGCCCAAGAGCUCUUUGCCUCUUCAGUUUGUCCUAGAACCAGCCCCGCUGUCCCCUCCUGCCGCCUUUCUGGACUAUGGAUUUGAUUUGCACCGGUGUCCACAGGCUGUCCCCCGGGGCAGCAGAAAACACAGGCAAAGUCCAAUUUUGUCUCUUAACUCUUGGGAAGGGAGCCAUGACCGCUGGGGACCCUCCACAGAAGUCUCCCAAGACACAGACGGGACACAAUCAGAAACAAGACAGAUGCCUACCAGCACAGAUUCUCCACCAAUGGCAUCAGGUUUUGCCAUGCUUGGGUUUCUUUGGUCUAAAGAUACCAGAGGACAAGCUUUCCCUGCAGGACAUUCAAAGCCAGUGGGAAAUUCACACUCAAAUGGCACAGAGUUAACAGUGCCCCAUUUAUCCAUAACACCAUCAUGCAUGUAUUUCAUACCUAAACGCUUUCACAUACAUUACCUAAUAUAACCCAUACCUAUGAGGUAGGUAUUAUCACCUCCAUUGUAACAAAAGGGAGAUUCAGACCUUUUCAAGAUCGGAUAACUAAUAGCUCCCUGGAGAUGGAAUCCAGAUUCAGACUCAACAUUUCUGGCCCGUUCUUCUCUUCAGGACCUCUCAUGUUGGACACUACACACACUCAUCCCAGAUGGCUGCCAAAUGGGGUUUUCCUCUGCUGAACAGUAUGAAGUCUUCUCAUUCUUUAAGUCUCAACUUCAAUGUCAUCACCGAGAGGCCCUCUCUGACACCCACUGAAUCUAACUUGACAGGUCUCUCCUGUCACAUCCUCUGUCUCAGCACCCUACUUAUUUCCUAUGUUAUACUUUCCUCAAUCUCUAAAUAUUUUUACUAAUUUAUUUACAAAUGUGUAGGCUUUUUUCUCCUACGAGAAGAGAUAAUGUGUAUGUCUUGCGCCCUGUGGAAUCCCCAGGGCCCCCGAACAGGGCUUGGCACAAGACAGGUACUUAAUAAGCAUUCGAUGAGUAAGCGAACGAAUAAAGUAAUUCAGGAUGAGGGAGAUCAUGUGUAAAUAUUGACAGACUAUGCAUUUUAAAUGAAUAAAAAUGUGUUUAUCAAUGAAACCAUAUUUUAUUGUGCUAUACAAUUUGAGUGUUUACUAUGUACUAGGUACUUUUUGAGUCACUGGGCUAUAACAGUAGACAAAAUCUUUGCUCUCAUGGGGUUUAUAUUCAAAUGUUUGUGUGCAUGCAUUUCUGUGAAAGGUAAUAAACAUAAACGUCAAUAUGCAAGUUGGUGGUAAGUGCUAUGAAGAAAAAAUAGAGCAGGAAUUGGGAUCAGGAAUGCGAGGAGAGGUUGGGGGUAGCAGAAUGCCAUUUUCAUGAGUGCCACUAGAGAAAGCCUUCAAAAAGAUGACAUUUGAACAAAGAGCUGAAGGA